rnacentral:rRNA from 1 species
UAACCUGCCCAAGAGAUCGGGAUAACACCUGGAAACAGAUGCUAAUACCGGAUAACAACAGAUGAUGCCUAUCAACUGUUUAAAAGAUGGUUCUGCUAUCACUCUUGGAUGGACCUGCGGUGCAUUAGCUAGUUGGUAAGGUAACGGCCUACCAAGGCGAUGAUGCAUAGCCGAGUUGAGAGACUGAUCGGCCACAUUGGGACUGAGACACGGCCCAAACUCCUACGGGAGGCAGCAGCU